rnacentral:tRNA from 1 species
GUCUGGGUAGCUUAGUGGUUAAAGCAUUCCCCCUUCUAUCCCUACUACCCGGUUAACCAUCCUAUAGUUCGGUAUAAAGUAAAAUGGGGAACCACCCAAGUUCAACUCUUGGUCCAGACG